rnacentral:lncRNA from 1 species
UUGAUUUUUAUUAUGGUAACAACCUCCAGUCCUCCAUCAAUUUAUCAGUGGGUUGUUAUCCUUUAAUUGUAUAUAAAUAUAAUAAUUUUUUAGUGGGUCUUAGUGUUGCCGGCUUAAAUACGCGUAUUAUGCAUGCAUAUGCGACCCUACUGGAAGAUGCGCCUGGCGCAUCUCCCUUCGCCAGAUCCGACCACCCGGAUACAAGCCUGUUUUAUGUUAUUUAAAUAACUUAAAACAGUGUUUUGUUUUUAUUUUUAAAAAAAAGGCAAAAAAAAAAAUUUAUUUUAAGACCUUCAUGAAAAGAGCUAUAUUAUUUUAAAUUUAAGCUCC